GACAGAGGGUGCAAACGUUGUUCGGAAUUACUGGGCAUAAAGCGCGUGUAGGCGGCCUUGUAAGUCCGUUCUGAAAGCCCGGGGCUCAACCCCCGGGAGGCGGAUGGAUACUGCAGGGCUCGAGUACGGAAGAGGCGAGUGGAAUUCCCGGUGUAGCGGUGAAAUGCGCAGAUAUCGGGAGGAGCACCAAUGGCGAAGGCAGCUCGCUGGGACGUUACUGACGCUGAGACGCGAAAGCGUGGGGAGCGAACAGG
rnacentral:rRNA from 1 species